AUGUGGACCCUUCUUCGUCAGCGCUAUCAGCCCUCUGGUGAUUCCUUAUACCUUUCUGUGGUCCGUCAGGAGCAUGCUCUUCAACAGGGUGACUCUAAUGUUGAUGACUUCUAUGCAUAGAGUUCUGCUAUCUGGCGCCAGCUUGAUUCUCUCCGCAGUGCUGGUUGUCAUACUUGCCCCUGUUGCCUGGCUGUCCAGGCCAACUUGGAGUUUCAUCGCGUCUACGAGUUCCUGUCUCGGCUCCGUAAGGAGUUUGGGCCCCGGGGUGCUCAGUUGUUUGCUCGUGGCCGUAUUUCUCUCAUGGAGGCGCUUUCUGAGAUUCGUGCUGAGGAGACUCGCUUACGUGGUGCUGGUUUGCUGGAGGUUUCCUUUGUGCUCGCUACUCGGGCUUCUUCCACGCCACCUGCUGCACUGACCCCUUCCCGCUCGAGUGCUCAUCCGCUCUUGCCCACUCCUUCUGGAGGCUCAGGUCGCCCCCGUCCACAUUGCGACUACUGCAUUCAUAUUGAGUCCCAGUGCUACACAAAGAGGAAACACCUGCGCAAGGCGCGAUCAUCAUCUUCAGGGCCUUCGUCAUCUACCUCGACAGCUUCAGCCAUUGCUUUGACGGAGCAGGAUAUUCUGAGACUUAAGCGUCUGCUUGCGGCUUCAGGUUCUUCCUCGACGGGUAUUGCUGGUUCUAUGACUGAUGCUUCCCGCACUGAGCAACCACCCUCUACACAGUCAGGUACAUCCCCAUGA
rnacentral:rRNA from 1 species